CAGUAGCCGCGGUAAAACGGAGGGCGCGAGCGUUACCCGGAUUUACUGGGCGUAAAGGGCGUGUAGGCGGCCUGGGGCGUCCCAUGUGAAAGGCCACGGCUCAACCGUGGAGGAGCGUGGGAUACGCUCAGGCUAGAGGGUGGGAGAGGGUGGUGGAAUUCCCGGAGUAGCGGUGAAAUGCGCAGAUACCGGGAGGAACGCCGAUGGCGAAGGCAGCCACCUGGUCCACUUCUGACGCUGAGGCGCGAAAGCGUGGGGAGCAAACCGGAUUAGAUACCCGUGUAGUCCCUGUCUCUUAUAC
rnacentral:rRNA from 1 species